rnacentral:misc_RNA from 1 species
UCUCCGUAGGUGAACCUGCGGAGGGAUCAUUACUGAGUGAGGGUCUCCGGGCCCGACCUCCAACCCUUUUGUGAACCACCUCGUUGCUUCGGGGGCGACCCUGCCUUUCGGGCAGUGCGCCCCCGGAGGAUAUCAAAACGCUGCAUCUUUGCGUCGGAGUAUCAAUCAAAUUGAACAAAACUUUCAACAACGGAUCUCUUGGUUCUGGCAUCGAUGAAGAACGCAGC